GCCAAAUGGUGCGACAUCAGCGGCGGCCUCAGGAGCAGCAGCAGCAGCCGCCGAGUGCUGCCAGGGCCCAGCGCUGCGCCAGGGCGGGGGGAGCGCACCGCCGCCCGGCGGGCACCGCACCGCACCGCGCCCCAGCGCCCGGCGCGACCCCCAUGAGAGGAGUGGGGGCCGGCGGCGGCCCCUCCCGCGUCCCCCUGCCUGCCUGAGCACGGAGCGCUCCCCCCGCCCCCGAUGCGCCCUUAGUCCCGGCCCCGGACCCGCCUCCCUCGCUCCCCUCCCCGCCGGCGGCGGCGGCAGCAGCAGCAGCGUCCAGGUGCGGACUUCAAACCCCAGCGCAAUGGCGUCCAACGCGGCCGAGAGGGAGAUCCUCUUCACCGAGCUCCAGGGGGAUGCCAAAACUCUUCUAGCCUCUGAGAAUGUGAGCACUGGCCAAAAGUUGGACUUUUCAGAUACAAUGGUACAGCAGAAGCUGGAUGAAGUAAAGGACCAAAUCAAGCGGGAAAUAAGGAAGGAACUUAAAAUCAAGGAGGGAGCAGAGAACCUCAGGAAGGUCACAACGGAUAAAAAGAACUUGGCAUAUGUGGACAACAUUUUGAAAAAGUCGAAUAAGAAAUUAGAAGACUUGCAUCAUAAGUUACAGGAGUUAAAUGCACACAUUGUUGUAACGGAUCCAGAAGAUGUUGCAGAUUGUCCUAGGACUCCUGAUACUCCAAAUAGCGAUCCUCGUUUUUCUACUAACAACAGAUUGAUGGCCUUAAAGAAGCAGUUGGAUAUAGAACUGAAGGUAAAACAGGGAGCAGAAAAUAUGAUACAGAUGUACUCAAAUGGCUCUUCAAAGGAUCGAAAACUUCUUGCCACAGCUCAGCAGAUGCUCCAGGACAGCAAGACAAAAAUAGAAGUUAUAAGGAUGCAGAUUCUUCAGGCAGUCCAGACCAAUGAAUUGGCUUUUGAUAAUGCAAAACCUGUGAUAAGCCCUCUUGAACUCCGAAUGGAAGAAUUACGACAUCAUUUUCGGAUAGAGUAUGCUGUAGCAGAAGGUGCAAAAAAUGUGAUGAAAUUACUUGGAUCUGGGAAAGUUACCGACAGAAAGGCACUUUCAGAAGCACAAGCAAGAUUUAAUGAAUCAAGCCAGAAGCUGGACCUCUUGAAGUAUUCACUGGAACAGAGAUUGAAUGAACUUCCUAAAAACCAUCCCAAAAGCAGUAUUAUUAUAGAGGAGCUUUCACUGGUCUCUUCACCCACAUUAAGUCCUCGUCAAGGUGUAAUAUCUACUCAAAACCAGUAUAGUACACUGUCCAAACCAGCAGCUUUAACAGGUACCCUGGAAGUUAGGCUAAUGGGCUGCCAAGAUAUUUUGGAAAACGUCCCCGGUCGAUCAAAAGCCACAUCAAUUACGCUCCCUGGUUGGAGUCCGAAUGAAGCCAGAUCAUCUUUCAUGAGCAGAACCAGUAAAAGUAAAAGUGGGAGUAGUAGAAACCUUCUGAAAACUGAUGACUUGUCCAAUGAAGUCUGUGCUGUACUGAAGCUGGAUAACACUGUGGUUGGUCAAACUAGCUGGAAACCUAUUUCCAAUCAGUCAUGGGAUCAGAAAUUUACACUGGAACUAGACAGGUCACGUGAAUUAGAAAUCUCCGUUUAUUGGCGUGACUGGAGAUCUCUGUGUGCAGUAAAGUUUCUGAGGUUGGAAGAUUUCCUGGACAACCAACGGCAUGGCAUGUGUCUCUAUCUUGAACCCCAGGGCACUCUGUUUGCAGAGGUUACGUUUUUUAAUCCAGUUAUUGAAAGAAGACCAAAACUCCAGAGGCAGAAGAAAAUUUUUUCAAAGCAGCAAGGCAAAACGUUUCUCAGAGCUCCUCAAAUGAAUAUUAAUAUUGCCACCUGGGGAAGGCUGGUAAGAAGAGCUAUUCCUACGGUGAAUCACUCUGGCACCUUCAGCCCUCAAGCAGCAGUGCCUGCUGCCGGGCCGGUGGUGGAUGCACACAUUCCUGAGCUGACGCUGCCAGCCAGUGACUCUCCUGUAGCCAAAUUGGACUUUGAACUUGAGCCUGAGCCUCCACCUGCUCCACCCCGUGCAUCUUCCCUUGGGGAAAUAUGUGAAUCUUCCUCUGAGAUAAAGGCUGCGGACGUGCCAUCUCAGGAUGAAGUAUCAAAUUUUGAUUUUGAAAAUGGCAGAAAUAGUAUUGUCCCAAAACUCCAGCCUGAAAUAAUCUGUGAGCCUGAUGCUCCCCGUUCGGACAUAAAAUACUCCAACACCCGAGAGCCUGAAGAUAGAAGAUCACAACAAAGAUUUCAGUUCAGUCUGAAGGAUUUCAGAUGUUGUGCUGUGCUGGGCAGAGGACAUUUUGGGAAGGUGCUUUUGGCAGAGUACAAAAACACAAACGAGAUGUUUGCUAUUAAAGCCUUAAAGAAAGGAGACAUUGUCGCUCGUGAUGAAGUAGACAGCUUGAUGUGUGAAAAGCGAAUAUUUGAAACUGUGAAUAGUGUAAGACAUCCCUUCUUGGUGAACCUUUUUGCUUGUUUCCAAACCAAAGAUCACGUUUGCUUCGUAAUGGAAUACGCUGCUGGUGGGGAUCUGAUGAUGCACAUUCACACUGACGUCUUCUCUGAACCAAGAGCAGUGUUCUACGCUGCAUGUGUGGUUCUUGGACUUCAGUAUUUACAUGAACACAAAAUAGUAUAUAGAGAUUUGAAGUUGGAUAACUUAUUGCUGGACACAGAAGGCUUCGUGAAAAUUGCUGACUUUGGUCUUUGCAAAGAAGGAAUGGGAUUUGGAGACAGAACGAGCACGUUCUGUGGCACACCGGAAUUUCUUGCUCCAGAGGUGCUGACAGAAACUUCCUAUACAAGAGCUGUAGACUGGUGGGGUCUUGGUGUACUCAUCUACGAGAUGCUGGUGGGCGAGUCUCCCUUCCCUGGAGACGAUGAAGAAGAGGUGUUUGACAGUAUUGUAAAUGACGAAGUAAGAUAUCCACGAUUUCUGUCUACAGAAGCCAUCUCUAUAAUGAGACGGCUGCUACGAAGAAAUCCAGAGCGGCGUCUUGGAGCUGGAGAGAAAGAUGCUGAGGAUGUGAAAAAGCAUCACUUCUUCAGGCUAAUAGAUUGGAAUGCUUUACUGGCCAAGAAGGUGAAGCCUCCUUUUGUACCCACCAUUAGAGGACGAGAAGAUGUUAGUAAUUUUGAUGACGAAUUUACCUCUGAAGCACCGAUCCUCACUCCACCUCGGGAACCAAGGAUACUUUCGGAAGAAGAGCAGGAAAUGUUCAGAGAUUUUGAUUACAUUGCUGAUUGGUGUUAACUUCCAGACACUGUGAAACCCCAGCUGACUGGCUCACAAGAAUGCCUCUCUCAGAAGAAUACCCACCCUUCAAUUGCUCUCUGUGCCACCUGUAGCUUCUGGGUUUUUUAUGUCACAUGAAGAUCCUUUUAAGUACUGUUUUAACACUCUUGUGGAGAGUGGCCUCUUUGUAUAUUGUUUUUUAUCUGAGCACUGGAAAGCAGGUCUGUGGAGUUCUUAAGCUGAGUUGGUGAACCCAGGCUGUAUUAAGCUUCCCGCGCAUGGGCACACGUGGAUCUGUACUGUUGCUCUCACUCCCCACAGCAGAUAACAUCCCUCUUUCAAGUAUCUGCCUUAAGUGGGAAAAGCAGACUGUGAGCUAGGGAAUCGCUUCUCUCUGCUCAUCCACACUGAAAGGGAAGUUUGGGAUACUGAUGACACUCGCACAGAACACGGUUCUAGCUGGAGAAGGCAAAUAAUUUCAGUUCAAUAUUAUCUUGUGCAGUCUAUAAAACUACACAUUUCUAUGUACACUUUCAUCUUUUGUUCUUAAAAUAAUGGUAUUGAGAACAGAUAUGCCUUGUUUUGUAAAUUUUCUAUGAUAUUUAUUAGGAAAAAUGUUAAAUGCCUUGCCUUCGAGAUAACAGCAGCGUAAGUGCUUCCAUUACAAAGAAAAAUCCAGAAAAAUCUAGAAGUUUACCAAAGCCACUUGCCAAACAGUUUUGCCUUCAAGCUUUUUAAGCAUGGCUUAAAGCCCUGGUUGAUAUGAAGAACGUGACAAGGACAUUGCUCAGUCUAACCACAAAGAGCAAAGCAUACGCGUUUCCCAAGCCCCUCCGCUCCUGUACUCCAACCCCUGCCUUUCCCCGUCCCCCAGGGGACAGCGAAGUGACCCAGUCUCUGUCUAACCACCCACGUCAUCCUCUCUCUGCUGUACAAUAUCAUAGCACAUUUAGAAAACAUGAGGAUUUUCAAUGUAUACAUGCUGUGAACAUGUAUAUGUGGAAGUUGUAAUGCAUUCUUAUGUCCGGGCAAGUAAUUUAAUUAUACCACUUCAUUAAUUUUGCACAGUGGCCGAGUGAACAACACAGAACUCCGAGUGAAAAGAAACACCUGUAUACAUACAGGCCGCUGAACUCCAGAACUUAGAUUGGCAGUUACUGAGAGUAAGAGCAAUACGUUGUAACAGAAUGUAUAAAUAUUUUUGAUAAAAACAGUGUAUAUUUUAUAAACCCCCUAACACUAAAAGCUGUACCUCAAAAGUUGAAAAAUAAUUUAGACCAGACACUGUGCAUACUUGUGAACCAAGACCGGUUUUUGGCAUCUGGUGUUCUGUGGGCAAACAUUAGUUCUCAGAAGUCAGGUUUCCCGCGUGGCCCUUAGCUCGAGCACGGGUCGGAGCCGACUGCGUGUGUCCGCUCCCAGGUUCAUCCCAGCCAGGAGGUCGCUGUUCGUGGGCUAAGACAGUGAGAAUCACCACUCAAAUGAAUUAAAACUUGUAAUUUUAGGCAUUCAAAGCAGAAACGCAAGCGCUCGAGUGUGUAACACCAAGGUGUUUGUUUAGACCUGCAGGGCAAACAGGGGAGAGGCUUAGGGAAAAAAAAAUAAUAAAAUGGUUACUGGGUCUAAAUCAGGCAUCUUCCCCCGCAGGAACCAGGAAGGCGUCUUUACCAGCUCUAUGAAUCGAAUCAUGUUUGGCAGAGUCAUCCAACUUUGCAGCAUUACUUGUUCCCAGAUUCUAAUUAAUAAGAAAGAAAUUAUGUUCCUGUAUCUAGCUGAAACCAGUACUUUUGAGGUGACUUCAGAAAAGAACUUGCAAUCAGGAGGGGACUUACAGAAACCCAGUCUCUUAGUGGUAGCUCAGUGUACUUCCAUUCAUUAAAAAAAAAAAAAAAAAAAAAAAAAAUUAAUUACCUCUGCGCAUACCUUUCUAUCUGAGGCUGAAGGAAAGUAGCCUCCUCUUGCUUGGGUGAGCAGUCCUUCUGAAGGAGCAGAAGACACAUCUACUGAACUCUGGCCAGCUGGAAUCUGCAGUCUCCCUUCAUAGGCUUCCUCUGGGGGCGGGGGGAGACAGUGCCCACUCCCCUCCUGGGUAUUUCUUCAUUGUAGUCUCUUGCCCUCCCCCCCCCCCCCAUUAUAUAGGAAAGCUCUGUAAACAAACAAGAACCUAUACCCAGCCCACAAGCUUGUUCUUUAAGCAGAGAAUAAAGCCUGCUUUUCUGAGUGCAUUGCUCUUCAGAACAAAUUUCACAUGAGAGCAUUGCCUGGAGACACUUAACUUCAAUACUGAACUAAGCAAUCCGUCCGUGCUCUGGCUGGCUCCAGAUGAAGAUCCAGACGGUGUUAAAUAUCUAGUCUAAAUCACAGUUGAAUCAACAUAGGAAGUGCCCGAAGAGACUCUGCCCUUGCCUUUGGUGUGCGUGGGGAAUGCAGUCCCUCAGCGCUCCUGCCUUCUCCCAGGCUCCCGGCGCAACCACCUCCCAGCGAGGGCUUGCGCACACCAGCAGAGAGCCGAAACCUACAAACACCUGAACUGCAGCCACUCUCUUCGCUUACACUUUAGGCUCGACUUGUCAUACAGCCUCUACUACCACUUCACUUUGGUAACAAGAAGGUAAUUAAUUUGCUAAAACACACUGCAGAGCUGCAACAGCCUCCUCUCCAGCUCUCCACACCGAUCCCUGCCACCCUGAGCCCCUGGUGCGCCCCCCACCCUGCCGACAACUGCUCCAGCCAGCAACACCGAGAGCUCGUGUCUGAACGAGAAACCAAAUUCCUCUGCUUCAUCAGAGCAGCUUACUAAAGGGCUCGUAACUGCCUAAAAAUUAAUUUGGAGUUAAAAUCUUUUCUUAUGCUGGAAUGCUUCACGUUAACAAUGGCCUACUGGUACCAGCAGGAGCUGGUUUCAGAAAUCUACAGCCCCUUCAAGCGUGCUCCCAGUUCUACCUCUUUGGGCGGCGCAGUUACUACCAUCUCCGGUACAGGAACUGCUUGUGGAAUUGCAGGAAGAGGCAGGGUCAAGCCAGGACAGGACGUCCCUGCCUCCAUCUGCUGCACUCCAGAGCUCUGCACAGACAGAUUUACAUUUCAGUCCAGCCAGCUUUUGCUGUAUGUAACAAUUCCAACUGCAAACACUCAACACUCAUGUGGCAAGUGCUCAGGCAUAAUGCCUGAAAGCAUUUCAAAUAAGAGCAUUAUGGUAAAUGUAAGUUUCAGCCAUUUUUAAACUGCAGGUAGUAGACUUAACACACUGAUCUGUGCUGGAAAGUACACUCGUGAUAAAAAAAAAAAACAACACCUUUCACCUUUGUAUUUCCAAGCUGUAACAGAACAUCAAAGGUCAGGCCCCGCCUAUUCACAGCAUCACGCCUUCGCCACAGAGGAGGGAGGCAGAGUAGCUCAGAACAAGACAGGGAAAGCCCAGGUAAGAAAACGUUGCAACAAAGUUUAAGGAACUACAUUAGAAUACAGUCCCUCCAAACUACCCACACCACCACCUUUAACAGCCGCAACAGAAUUUUUUAUGACUGCAACCAACAGCUUCAGUAGCGUUAACAGAACUGUACGGCCUUUGUUAUUUGUUUACAGAAAAAAAUGUUGAGCUGCCACAUUUCAAUAGUCUCGACCAGCAGAAGAGGAUUAAAACCAAAGGAGAAAGAAAACAGUGGGGGCUAUUGAUAAUUAGCGCUAUUAGCGCUGGACACCCAGCCCUCUCUCUGGAUGGCUUCGGACCAGAUGCAUAGCAAGCUGACCCCUCAGCUGCUCAUAUCAAUAAUUAAAAUGAAUUUGCACCUGUGAUACAAAAUUAACUCAGGAACCAGAAGACUCCCAGUUAAGUACAUUUGUUGCUUUGCACACAAAGGGACUCUGUCAGGAGGCAACUAGUUUUCAAAGCUGUUAGUUUGGUGCCGGCUGGAUACUUCUGGCCUUCGCUCCUCAGCACCUGGUGCAUCCUUUCACACAAGCAAGUGCUCACUCACAGCGUGACAGCCAAAAGCGGAAGCGCUGGCCAGCCAGGCUGUAGGGCAGGCUGACAGGGCAGAACGUUUAACAGAAACUUUUACCAGAAAUAUUUUUUACCUUCCUCUGUACAGUAUCUAGCAUCACAAAGGUGUCAGGAAUUCAACUAAAGUAGCAGUCCUUAUAUUUAUCUGCUUCAUCAUUAUGUCAAAUUCACAGAAGCAAAGCAGAGAGACAUCAGUGAAAAUCAGGGAGACUGUGCCAAGGACGUGACUAAUGCUUUCACAAGUUUGGAAAUCUUCAGCAGCAGUCGUGCAAAUAUUCAAACAGCUUUUCAGCAACUGCUUGCAUUCCGGGUUAAGUCAUCCACGCAGCACUGUACAGCUAACUACAAAAAUUAAAACCACACUAGAUAUUAAAAAUUCCCAAGCAAGCA